GAGCAACAGUUCUGCGUGAAGCGGGUCAGGGGAGGAAUCCAGCAGCCCUAAGCGAAGUGAACUGUGUGCUC
rnacentral:SRP_RNA from 1 species